CUAAUGACGAUGGCAAUUUAGUCCCGUCGCGAUUAUUUCUUUAAAGUGGUGUAUAAGCCACAUAUAUCAUGAUGAAAGGAUGGUGAAGUCUUCUGUAUAAAAACAAUGGUUUAGUCCAUCGACUAGGGGGAAUGCUGUUAUAAUAUCGUCCCACGUGAUGUGGUGAGUGUUUUUACCUUUAAUUCCGCGUCGUAACGGGGUUGACAGAGCUGUAACAUGUCAUUUUGUUACAGGGGUCAAAGUCCACCGGCAGAGUCCAGUGUUAAAGUUCUACUAGAAUGAUCAACUGUAAAGACUAACUUCAAAAAUCAACUUCAAGGUCUUCCUUCAGGGUCUAGCUCCCCAGCCAUGACUACCAUUUGUGUUCAUUAUCUACUUUUACCGUCAGGGUCAGUUCCUGCUGCGGUCAUUAAUGUACAUAAUUCCAGUUUGGUGUUAAAAUCUCUGGAUACCAUCUAGAUAUCUCUUCUUCAUGAUUGAUUUAACUUAUUAUGGAUAGUGCCAUUCUCUCAAUGUGUUAUUCAACUAAUACAUGGAGUAUUUAUCCUCAAUACAUACUCCAUGCCUUUUGUCAGGACCUGCCGUCCUGACACUUUACUUAUCCUCAGAGGGAUAAAACCUAGUUGUUUAGGAAUAAUACUAAGUUAAGACACCAUGUUAUAGUAAUAGAUUUAUUUCUUAAUUUACAUUAGGAUGUAUUGUAACCGACUGACUUUAUAUUGUUUUUAAUGUGAAAUUACUGAACCAAUUAUACCUUUGUUAAAAGUGAAA